GACGAACGCUGGCGGCGUGCUUAACACAUGCAAGUCGAACGGAAAGGCUCCAGCUUUCUGGAGUGCUCGAGUGGCGAACGGGUGAGUAACACGUGGGCAAUCUGCCCUGCACUCUGGGAUAAGCCUGGGAAACUGGGUCUAAUACCGGAUAGGACCUUUUUCUUCAUGGGGUUUGGUGGAAAGUUUUUCGGUGCAGGAUGAGCCCGCGGCCGAUCAGCUUGUUGGUUGGGUAAUGGCUUACCAAGGCGACGACUGGUAGCCGGCCUGAGAGGGUGAUCGGCCACAUUGGGACUGAGAUACGGCCCAGACUCCUACGGGAGGCAGCAGUGGGGAAUAUUGCACAAUGGGCGAAAGCCUGAUGCAGCGACGCCGCGUGAGGGAUGACGGCCUUCGGGUUGUAAACCUCUUUCAGUAGGGACGAAGCGCAAGUGACGGUACCUGCAGAAGAAGCACCGGCUAACUACGUG
rnacentral:rRNA from 1 species